GGAAGUAAAAAGUCGUAACAAGGUUUCCGUAGGUGAACCUGCGGAAGGAUCAUUAUUGUAUAACCGAGGUGCGAGGGCUGUCGCUGACCCGAAAGGUCGUGCACGCCCGAGUGCCCUCACACACAUCCAUCUCACCCCUAUGUGCACCACCGCGUGGGUCCCCCUUUGGCUUGUUCGGAGGGGGGCUUACGUUUUCACACAAACUUCGUAUGCAGUGUAGAAUGUAUUUUUUGUUUUUGCGAUCACGCAAUCAAUACAACUUUCAACAACGGAUCUCUUGGCUCUC
rnacentral:misc_RNA from 1 species